rnacentral:rRNA from 1 species
GACGAACGCUGGCGGCGUGCUUAACACAUGCAAGUCGAACGGAAAGGCCCUGCUUUUGUGGGGUGCUCGAGUGGCGAACGGGUGAGUAACACGUGAGUAACCUGCCCUUGACUUUGGGAUAACUUCAGGAAACUGGGGCUAAUACCGGAUAGGAGCUCCUGCUGCAUGGUGGGGGUUGGAAAGUUUCGGCGGUUGGGGAUGGACUCGCGGCUUAUCAGCUUGCUGGUGGGGUAGUGGCUUACCAAGGCUUUGACGGGUAGCCGGCCUGAGAGGGUGACCGGCCACAUUGGGACUGAGAUACGGCCCAGACUCCUACGGGAGGCAGCAGUGGGGAAUAUUGCACAAUGGGCGGAAGCCUGAUGCAGCAACGCCGCGUGCGGGAUGACGGCCUUCGGGGUGUAAACCGCUUUCGCCUGUGACGAAGCGUGAGUGACGGUAAUGGGUAAAGAAGCACCGGCUAACUACGUG